GACGAACGCUGGCGGCGUGCUUAACACAUGCAAGUCGAACGGAAAGGCCCUGCUUUUGUGUGGUGCUCGAGUGGCUAACGGGUGAGUAACACGUGAGUAACCUGCCCUUGACUUUGGGAUAACUUCAGGAAACUGGGGCUAAUACCGCAUAGUAGCUCCUGCUGCAUGGUGGGGGUGGGAAAGUUUCGGCGGUUGGGGAUGGGCUCGCGGCUUAUCAGCUUGUUGGUGGGGUAGUGGCUUACCCAGGCUUUGACGGGUAGCCGGCCUGAGAGGGUGACCGGCCACAUUGGGACUGAGAUACGGCCCAGACUCCUACGGGAGGCAGCAGUGGGGAGUAUUGCGCAAUGGGCGGAAGCCUGAUGCAGAAACGCCGCGUGCGGGAUGAAGGCCUUCGGGUUGUAAACCGAUUUCGCCUGUGACGAAGCGUGAGUGACGGUAAUGGGUAAAGAAGCACCGGCUAACUACGUG
rnacentral:rRNA from 1 species